AUUGAACGCUGGCGGCAUGCCUUACACAUGCAAGUCGAACGGUAACAGGUCUUCGGAUGCUGACAAGUGGCGAACGGGUGAGUAAUACAUCGGAACGUGCCCAGACGUGGGGGAUAACGAGGCGAAAGCUUUGCUAAUACCGCAUACGAUCUAAGGAUGAAAGCAGGGGACCGCAAGGCCUUGCGCGUUUGGAGCGGCCGAUGGCAGAUUAGGUAGUUGGUGGGAUAAAAGCUUACCAAGCCGACGAUCUGUAGCUGGUCUGAGAGGACGACCAGCCACACUGGGACUGAGACACGGCCCAGACUCCUACGGGAGGCAGCAGUGGGGAAUUUUGGACAAUGGGCGAAAGCCUGAUCCAGCAAUGCCGCGUGCAGGAUGAAGGCCUUCGGGUUGUAAACUGCUUUUGUACGGAACGAAAAGGCUCUGGCUAAUACCUGGGGCACAUGACGGUACCGUAAGAAUAAGCACCGGCUAACUACGUG
rnacentral:rRNA from 1 species